rnacentral:rRNA from 1 species
UACGAAGGGGGCUAGCGUUGCUCGGAAUCACUGGGCGUAAAGGGUGCGUAGGCGGGUCUUUAAGUCAGGGGUGAAAUCCUGGAGCUCAACUCCAGAACUGCCUUUGAUACUGAGGAUCUUGAGUUCGGGAGAGGUGAGUGGAACUGCGAGUGUAGAGGUGAAAUUCGUAGAUAUUCGCAAGAACACCAGUGGCGAAGGCGGCUUACUGGUCCGGUACUGACGCUGAGGCGCGAAAGCGUGGGGGAGCAAACAGG